rnacentral:misc_RNA from 1 species
GGGAAAGUGAACAUUCUUCAUCGAUAACCUUCCCUUAAGGCAAAGGUCAUUGCAGAAACAUAAAAUUGUGCGAUAUAUAAGAUGGAAGAUUCCGAGGGAAGUAAUCCAUAUAUGAGUAUACUGAAGAGACUGGCCAGCUAUGAUUAUAUUUCCAAAAAUUAUGGGUCAUCUGGGAUUGCUGGUGCAUUUUUUAUUGCCAUUAUUAUACCAACAUUCCUCUCCAUAUUACUUAUGGGGAAGAAGAAGGCAAAACAAAGAGGUGUUCCGGUUCAAGUUGGCGGUGAGCCAGGUCUUGCAAUGCGCAAUGCUAAAUCAGCCAGAUUAGUUGAAGUUCCCUGGGAAGGGGCUACAACUGUAGCAGCUCUAUUUGAGCAGUCUUGUAAAAAACAUUCCUCUUAUCGCUGUCUUGGAUCUAGAAAGCUAGUUAGCAGGGACUUUGUUACUGCAAGUGAUGGAAGGAAGUUUGAGAAACUUCACUUGGGGGAGUAUCAGUGGGAGUCUUAUGGACAAGUAUUUGAUCGCACUUGCAACUUUGCCUCUGGUCUUAUUAGUUUGGGUCAUGAUGUGGACACUCGUGCUGCUAUCUUCGCAGAAUCUCGUGCGGAGUGGCUCAUUGCCUUUCAGGGAUGUUUCCGGCAGAAUAUUACCGUUGUUACCAUUUAUGCUUCUUUGGGUGAUGAUGCACUUAUCUAUUCACUCAAUGAGACUCAAGUAUCUACAUUAAUAUGUGAUGCCAAGCAACUGAAAAAAGUGGCUUCUGUUAGUUCGAGCCUGAAAACCAUCAAGAAUGUCAUCUAUUUCGAGGAUGACGAGACGGCAACAGAUUCCACAAAUAUUGACAGCUGGAGGGUGUCGUCUUUCUCAGAAGUUGAAAAGCUGGGUAGAAAUAGUCCUAUUCAGGCAAGAUUGCCUGUCAAAGAAGAUAUUGCUGUGAUCAUGUAUACAAGUGGCAGUACAGGCUUGCCUAAGGGUGUUAUGAUAACUCAUGGCAACAUUGUAGCCACUGCAGCUGCUGUGAUGACUGUGAUUCCAAAACUUGGAACCAGUGAUGUCUAUUUGGCUUACCUUCCUUUAGCUCACGUUUUUGAGUUGGCUGCUGAGACUGUAAUGCUGACUGCAGGUGCUUGUAUUGGUUAUGGCUCAGCCCUCACAUUGACGGACACAUCUAACAAAGUCAUGAAGGGGACCAAGGGAGAUGCUACAGUUUUAAAACCUACUUUAAUGGCUGCAGUUCCAGCCAUUCUAGAUCGUGUUCGGGAUGGUGUUAUGAAGAAGGUUGAGGAGAAGGCAGGUUCUGCCAAGAAACUUUUCCACAUCGCCUUUAACCGUCGAUUGGCUGCUAUGGAAGGUAGCUGGUUUGGAGCUUGGGGUCUAGAGAAACAAUUGUGGGAUAUCAUUAUAUUCAAAAAGGUGAGGGCUGUGCUUGGAGGAGAUAUCCGUUUCAUGCUUUGCGGUGGUGCUCCUCUAUCAGGG